rnacentral:misc_RNA from 1 species
UUUCCGUAGGUGAACCUGCGGAAGGAUCAUUAUUGAGAGGGGUCUUUUAGGCCCAACCUCCAACCCUUUGUCUACAAAACCACUGUUGCCUCGGCGGGACGCCGGCUCCCUUCGCGGGGAGGCGCCGUCGGCUUUCGGGCUUUCGAGUGCCCGCCGCAGGACCAUUUAAACUCGUUUUAUAAAAUUAGAAUUCUUAGUGACAUUUAAUGCUUCAAAUAAAACUUUCAACAACGGAUCUCUUGGUUCUGGCAUCGAUGAAGAACGCAGC